UAAUACGUAGGGACCAAGCGUUGUCCGGAAUCAUUGGGCGUAAAGAGCGUGUAGGCGGCUUGUUAAGUCUUGCGUGAAAUCUCGGGGCUCAACCCCGAGCGGUCGUGAGAAACUGGCAGGCUAGAGUGCGGGAGAGGAGAGUGGAAUUCCUGGUGUAGCGGUGAAAUGCGCAGAUAUCAGGAAGAACACCCGUGGCGAAGGCGGCUCUCUGGAACGCAACUGACGCUGAGACGCGAAAGCGUGGGGAGCAAACAGGAUUAGAUACCCUGGUAGUCCACGCCGUAAACGAUGGAUGCUAGGUGUGGGCGGUGUCGACUCCGUCCGUGCCGAAGCUAACGCAUUAAGCAUCCCGCCUGGGGAGUACGGCCGCAAGGCUA
rnacentral:rRNA from 1 species